ACACCUGUAGAGCAAUCUGAUGACAUUGUGCAAAAGUGGAGCAACAGAAUCUUACCAAAAAUCUUUUGAGAGCUCAGUCCCUAAAGUUACAUACACAGCCUCUGCUCAGAGUACAAGUGUAUGGGAUGCAUUUCCUCAGAGAGGAUUAGGAUUUGGACCUGAGCAUCCUGUUGCCUGACCGAUGUGCCUUUAAGUCCUUCCCCUCCAGUUCUUUUCCUGGUAGACUAGGUUCUUAUAUAAGAAUUUACCUGGUCAUUAAUUACCUGGGUCUAUAGUUGUACAUACAGGGAUGUCCACAGUGUGUAAAUAACCUAUGGUUAGUGUCCUCUCCACAGUCCCUGAGCACAGUGACUCUAACCAUGGAAUGGAGCUGGGUUUUUCUCUUUUUCCUGUCAAUAACUGCAGGUGUCCACUUCCAGGUGCAGCUGCAGCAGUUUGGACCUGAGCUGGUGAAGCCUGCAUCUUUAGUGAAAGUCUCCUGCAAGACUUCUGGCUACCCUUUUGCCUAGUAUGAUAUGCAGUGGGUAAAGCAGAGACCUGGACAGGGUCUGGAAUGGAUUGGAGCAAUUGCUCCUGGAAGUGAUGGUACUGCCUACAAUCAGAAGUUGUAGGCAAGGGCACACUGACUGCAGACAAAUCCUCCAACACAGCCUACAUAGAACUCAGAAGAUUGACAUUUGAGGACUCUGGGGUCUAUUACUGUGCAAGACACAGUGUUGUUACCACAUCCUGAAUGUGUCAGAAACCAUGUGGGAGCAGCAAGCUUCCAUGGGACUGAGAUGAGAGAGAAGACUAAUAUCUAGCCUUGCUCAGGAAUAGUAAUUUUGAAUGUCCAUUUAUUGCCUCCUCCUCUAAUCCUAUAGUGCCUUUGUCCUCUUUAUAAAUGAACUUGUAUGAAUAAAGUGAUGUUAUUUGGAUAACCAUACAAUUCACCAUACCUUGUGAAUCACUUCACUAUUUACCACUUUUAUUGGCAUGUUUCCUAUUCAAUAAAACAAUAAAAAGUGAAAAGAAUUGUGAUGCAUGUUAAAAAUAUCACAAGAACCCGAGAGAGCCGUAUUUGCAAUUGUUGGGAAUAAUGUAUGAUAUGAAUUUGACCUAUAAAAUCUAAAUCACCAACACAGGCAAGCAAACACUCCUUCAUAGUCUCAAUGACUUCAGGUGUAUUGUGAUCACUUGCCGCGUGUUCCAGCAGAAAUUCCAGUCUUUUAGAAUUUGAGAAAUAUUCAUCAGAAUGCACAGGCAUGCAAAUAUAUUUCCUGUUCAUUGGUCAAAAUAUUACCAAAUCACUUUUCAUCAAACUGCUUAACCAACACAUGUAUAUACUUGUUGAUUGAGGUAGGUUCUGAGAUUAAGGAUAAGAUUUGGUCCCAUAUUUACUUCUUCCCAUUCCCAGUAAUCAUACCUAAUCACUACCCUCUUUGGAACAUGGACCUAUAGAGAUAACGCAUCAACUCUCAUACUCAUUACAUAUCUCUUGCCCAGCUUUGUUCUACAGAGCA